rnacentral:rRNA from 1 species
GACGAACGCUGGCGGCGUGCUUAACACAUGCCAGUCGAACGGAAAGGCCCUGCUUGCAGGGUGCUCGAGUGGCGAACGGGUGAGUAACACGUGGGUGAUCUGCCCCUUACUUUGGGAUAAGCCUGGGAAACUGGGUCUAAUACUGGAUAGGACCAUGCUGUAGGUGGUGUGGUGGAAAGAUUAGUUUCGGUAAGGGAUGAGCUCGCGGCCUAUCAGCUUGUUGGUGGGGUAAUGGCCUACCAAGGCGUCGACGGGUAGCCGGCCUGAGAGGGUGGACGGCCACAUUGGGACUGAGAUACGGCCCAGACGCCUACGGGAGGCAGCAGUGGGGAAUAUUGCACAAUGGGCGCAAGCCUGAUGCAGCGACGCCGCGUGGGGGAUGACGGCCUUCGGGUUGUAAACUCCUUUCAGCCAUGACGAAGCCCUUGUGGUGACGGUAGUGGUAGAAGAAGCACCGGCUAACUACGUG